UGGCUAAGGUGUCUUGGCUAAUGUGUCUUGGCUGAGGUGUCUUGGCUAAGGUGUCUCGGCUAAUGUGUCUUGGCUAAGGUGUCUUGGCUAAGGUGUCUCGGCUAAUGUGUCUUGGCUAAGGUGUCUUAGCUAAGGUGUCUUGGCUAAUGUGUUUUGGCUAAGGUGUCUUGGCUAAUGUGUCUUGGCUAAGGUGUCUUGGCUAAGGUGUCUUGGCUAAGGUGUCUUGGCUAAUGUGUCUUGGCUAAGGUGUCUUGGCUAAUGUGUCUUGGCUAAGGUGUCUUGGCUAAGGUGUCUUGGCUAAUGUGUCUUGGCUAAGGUGUCUUGGCUAAGGUGUCUUGGCUAAUGUGUCUCGGCUUAGGUGUCUUGGCUAAGGUGUCUUGGCUAAGGUGUCUUGGCUAAGGUGUCUUGGCUAAUGUGUCUCGGCUAAUGUGUCUUGGCUAAGGUGUCUUGGCUAAGGUGUCUUGGCUAAUGUGUCUCGGCUAAGGUGUCUUGGCUAAGGUGUCUUGGCUAAUGUGUCUUGGCUAAGGUGUCUUGGCUAAGGUGUCUUGGCUAAUGUGUCUCGGCUUAGGUGUCUUGGCUAAGGUGUCUUGGCUAAGGUGUCUUGGCUAAUGUGUCUUGGCUAAGGUGUCUUGGCUAAGGUGUCUUGGCUAAGGUGUCUUGGCUAAGGUGUCUUGGCUAAGGUGUCUUGGCUAAGGUGUCUCGGCUAAUGUGUCUUGGCUAAUGUGUCUUGGCUAAAGUGUCUUGGCUAAGGUGUCUUGGCUAAGGUGUCUUGGCUAAUGUGUCUUGGCUAAGGUGUCUUGGCUAAUGUGUCUUGGCUAAUGUGUCUCGGCUUAUGUGUCUUGGCUAAUGUGUCUUGGCUAAGGUGUCUUGGCUAAGGUGUCUUGGCUAAGGUGUCUUGGCUAAUGUGUCUUGGCUAAGGUGUCUUGGCUAAUGUGUCUUGGCUAAGGUGUCUUGGCUAAGGUGUCUUGGCUAAUGUGUCUUGGCUAAGGUGUCUUGGCUAAGGUGUCUUGGCUAAUGUGUCUCGGCUUAGGUGUCUUGGCUAAGGUGUCUUGGCUAAGGUGUCUUGGCUAAGGUGUCUUGGCUAAUGUGUCUCGGCUAAUGUGUCUUGGCUAAGGUGUCUUGGCUAAGGUGUCUUGGCUAAUGUGUCUCGGCUAAGGUGUCUUGGCUAAGGUGUCUCGGCUAAUGUGUCUUGGCUAAGGUGUCUUGGCUAAGGUGUCUUGGCUAAUGUGUCUCGGCUAAGGUGUCUUGGCUAAGGUGUCUUGGCUAAUGUGUCUUGGCUAAGGUGUCUUGGCUAAGGUGUCUUGGCUAAUGUGUCUCGGCUUAGGUGUCUUGGCUAAGGUGUCUUGGCUAAGGUGUCUUGGCUAAGGUGUCUCGGCUAAGGUGUCUUGGCUAAGGUGUCUUGGCUAAUGUGUCUUGGCUAAGGUGUCUUGGCUAAGGUGUCUUGGCUAAUGUGUCUCGGCUUAGGUGUCUUGGCUAAGGUGUCUUGGCUAAGGUGUCUUGGCUAAGGUGUCUCGGCUAAUGUGUCUUGGCUAAUGUGUCUUGGCUAAAGUGUCUUGGCUAAGGUGUCUUGGCUAAGGUGUCUUGGCUAAUGUGUCUCGGCUAAGGUGUCUUGGCUAAGGUGUCUUGGCUAAUGUGUCUUGGCUAAGGUGUCUUGGCUAAGGUGUCUUGGCUAAUGUGUCUCGGCUAAGGUGUCUUGGCUAAGGUGUCUUGGCUAAUGUGUCUUGGCUAAGGUGUCUUGGCUAAGGUGUCUUGGCUAAUGUGUCUUGGCUAAGGUGUCUUGGCUAAUGUGUCUUGGCUAAUGUGUCUUGGCUAAGGUGUCUCGGCUAAUGUGUCUUGGCUAAGGUGUCUUGGCUAAAGUGUCUUGGCUAAGGUGUCUUGGCUAAGGUGUCUUGGCUAAGGUGUCUUGGCUAAGGUGUCUUGGCUAAGGUGUCUCGGCUAAUGUGUCUUGGCUAAUGUGUCUUGGCUAAAGUGUCUUGGCUAAGGUGUCUUGGCUAAGGUGUCUUGGCUAAUGUGUCUUGGCUAAUGUGUCUCGGCUUAUGUGUCUUGGCUAAUGUGUCUUGGCUAAAGUGUCUUGGCUAAUGUGUCUCGGCUAAUGUGUCUUGGCUAAGGUGUCUUGGCUAAGGUGUCUUGGCUAAUGUGUCUCGGCUAAGGUGUCUUGGCUAAGGUGUCUUGGCUAAUGUGUCUUGGCUAAGGUGUCUUGGCUAAGGUGUCUUGGCUAAUGUGUCUCGGCUUAGGUGUCUUGGCUAAGGUGUCUUGGCUAAGGUGUCUUGGCUAAGGUGUCUCGGCUAAGGUGUCUUGGCUAAGGUGUCUUGGCUAAUGUGUCUUGGCUAAGGUGUCUUGGCUAAGGUGUCUUGGCUAAUGUGUCUCGGCUUAGGUGUCUUGGCUAAGGUGUCUUGGCUAAGGUGUCUCGGCUAAUGUGUCUUGGCUAAUGUGUCUCGGCUAAUGUGUCUUGGCUAAGGUGUCUUGGCUAAGGUGUCUUGGCUAAUGUGUCUCGGCUAAGGUGUCUUGGCUAAGGUGUCUUGGCUAAUGUGUCUUGGCUAAGGUGUCUUGGCUAAGGUGUCUUGGCUAAUGUGUCUCGGCUUAGGUGUCUUGGCUAAGGUGUCUUGGCUAAGGUGUCUUGGCUAAUGUGUCUUGGCUAAUGUGUCUUGGCUAAUGUGUCUCGGCUAAUGUGUCUUGGCUAAGGUGUCUUGGCUAAAGUGUCUUGGCUAAGGUGUCUUGGCUAAGGUGUCUUGGCUAAGGUGUCUUGGCUAAGGUGUCUUGGCUAAGGUGUCUCGGCUAAUGUGUCUUGGCUAAUGUGUCUUGGCUAAAGUGUCUUGGCUAAGGUGUCUUGGCUAAGGUGUCUUGGCUAAGGUGUCUUGGCUAAUGUGUCUCGGCUAAGGUGUCUUGGCUAAGGUGUCUUGGCUAAUGUGUCUUGGCUAAGGUGUCUUGGCUAAGGUGUCUUGGCUAAGGUGUCUUGGCUAAUGUGUCUUGGCUAAGGUGUCUUGGCUAAGGUGUCUUGGCUAAUGUGUCUUGGCUAAGGUGUCUUGGCUAAGGUGUCUUGGCUAAUGUGUCUUGGCUAAGGUGUCUUGGCUAAGGUGUCUUGGCUAAGGUGUAUUGGCUAAUGUGUCUCGGCUAAGGUGUCUUGGCUUAUGUGUCUUGGCUAAGGUGUCUUGGCUAAUGUGUCUCGGCUAAGGUGUCUUGGCUUAUGUGUCUUGGCUAAGGUGUCUUGGCUAAGGUGUCUUGGCUAAUGUGUCUCGGCUAAGGUGUCUUGGCUAAGGUGUCUUGGCUAAGGUGUCUUGGCUAAGGUGUCUUGGCUAAGGUGUCUUGGCUAAGGUGUCUUGGCUAAUGUGUCUCGGCUAAGGUGUCUUGGCUAAGGUGUCUUGGCUAAGGUGUCUUGGCUAAUGUGUCUUGGCUAAUGUGUCUCGGCUAAGGUGUCUCGGCUAAGGUGUCUUGGCUAAUGUGUCUUUGCUAAUGUGUCUUGGCUAAUGUGUCUUGGCUAAUGUGUCUUGGCUAAGGUGUCUUGGCAAAGGUGUCUUUGCUAAGGUGUCUUGGCUAAUGUGUCUUGGCUAAUGUGUCUUGGCUAAUGUGUCUUGGCUAAUGUGUCUUGGCUAAUGUGUCUUGGCU